GUUCCCUGAGGGGAGAGCUGCCCCGGGCCGGGCCGCGGCGCUGCCAUCGCCUGGAUCCGCCGCUUGGAGGCUGUGCUGGGGCACUGCUGCCGCUGCAGGGACACGCAGGCGAACAGCAGCAGUUCUGCCUACGGAGCAGGUUGGAGGGACAGUGCCGCACAGGGGGCUGAGGAAAACAGAGAAGGGCUCCGGUCUGUCCCGGCCUUUGGCGUAAUGGGGCCACGAUGGUAACGUGCUCGUAGCGUGGACUGGGAGGUGAAAUUGCCAGGUGUUCAAGGGAGAGAAAAGGGAAAAGGGUCAGUGCGGGACAGCUUUCACUCAGUGGUACCUGGUAACACCACGCGCCUUAUCGGGCGGGGGACAGCCACGGGCCCGUCACGGGCAGGACGCGUGUGGCCGUGCGAUAAGCGCCCAGCGCUGCCACUGCCCCGGGCUGGAGGAGCACCGAAGGCCCGAGGGACGCACUCGCUCCAGCCUCGGAUGGUGACAGACCCACUGUCUUCUCGAGCAUCCCUUCCCCGCCUCCGAUCCACGUCCUUCUCCUCCGGCCAGACUCAGCGCUUAUCUCCUCACCCAUUUGUCACCUGCCUGCUUCAGCCCUUGUGUGACCCCUAGCAUCCCCCUAGAGCCCACACCCUCCUGCAGCUCCCGGGCUCUCUGUCGCAGAUUAAUGCCCACCAGCUCUCAGGAACUUUUCUCAAUGUCUGCUCGGUCCCCAACCUCUUUGUCCUUCCUUCAUUACAGGUGUUGCUGAAGCCAUAUUUUAUCUUUUGCCUUGGAGUAGGAUACGAUAAGCAGGGAAGUCACCGAGAGCUGUGGACGACAGCCUUUUUGCUUUCAGAUCCAGCCAUACAGCACUGCAGGUGGCGAUAAGGUGAUAAGAUCCAUCUCUUCUCUUAAUGUGGCCCUUAAAAAAACCCCAAACCCUUGGGAAAUUGCAGUUCAGUUUCACCCAAUCCCACCUAAGCAGCUUCAGCAUUCAAAUUUUCAGGGUGUUUGGAAGAUUCCUCAUACAAUUCACAAAACACACCACCUCAAUCAAUCUGAAGUCUGCUCUACCACCUAAUUUUCAAUUCCCUGCUUCAAACUGUAAGACUGUCAGAGAUCUGCUACCGUUUCCCAUUAAGUGUCCAAACUAUGACAGAAGAAACUUCCCAUAGUUGCUCAGUGGGGCCACAGAGCAUGGUGUUUGUACUAAUCUUAGCAAUUGGAAAUGUGGUCUUAUUAAAGGAAUUACCAGGCAACCAGGUGGGGAUAGCAGCAUUCCUGUGCCAGGUGGAAGUAGAAGAUGAGAAGGAGGAAGCAUCACCUUGCAGAGCUCUGUCACUUAAGGCUGACACAGCCUUGAAUGGAAUGGAUCCUGCAGAUGUGCCUUCCAAAACAAACAGCCUUCUCUUGGCUCAAGACUUACCAAUGGGGGAAUGUGAGAAUGUGUAGGUGAGUGCAGGCACGUGAACGCUGAGGAAGAGGAGCAGAAUGAGCCUUAGGACAGAGUGCAAGAAGAGAAAUUGUCAGCAGUACCUCAUUAACUGCACACUUUUCACAGUGAAUGAAGAACAGAAUUACAGAGCCACAGGCCCCUUCCCUGUGUUUUGCCAUGCAGCAGGACCUUCCUUUUCCCCCUGGGUCAGACUUUUCUGCUGGAUGCGACCGUCCCUGGGCUGCACCUGCUGUGGUGACUCGCUAAUACAUCUGCUUGGAAGAGAUGCCUUGUUCACACAUUGAAAGGAUAAACUGCUUAUCCUGUUUUCUGUAAUUCUGUCAGAGAGCAAAAGCUCAUCUGACUGGUUUAACUUAAGGGGAAAUACAAGGCAAUGUGGUUGAAGGAGAUAGAAAAUGGAGAAGGGACUCUGAAUCAGCUGAUUUGUAUUUAAAGGUUUUAUUCUGCUUGCUCUCUCUUUCUAAAAAUAUUUUUUCUGGUUUGGAGAAAUAAUAUAUAAAUGAUACCCUGGCAAGAAGUGCAUAAAAUCUGACAGAUGAAUAAAUUGCACUCUCCAGAGCUGUAAGCUUGAAAAGAACAUUGCAGAGAUAAUGAAUGUUCUUGGCUUGAGAGAAAUUCUGUCCAUUAGAAAUAUACCUCUCUGAAGAUUGAUCUGAACUUUUGAGCUUUCAGUUGAAUAACUGCUCUUUGAGAUUCAAAAAAAAAUUUACUUAUUUAAUUUUCCAUUCACCAGAAUUGAAUAACAUGCAGUUGGUGAUUUAAAAUGUUGUUGAAUUAAUUAUGACAUUUUGUUAAAUUCCCUUUUGUCUUUCCUUUGUCCGUUUUUUAUUUCAAAGGCCUCAGUAGUAGGCAAAGUGUUAUCACCCCAGUAGAGAUGAGAGAUGAGUCAGAGAUUUGUCAGCUUGAAUGGCCUUAGACCUGCACUUAUCCCUGCUGACUACCCAGAUGCAAGUUUGAAGUGAUGUUUCUUGCAUCUUAAAGAGCAGGACUGAGAAAGCUCAAGCUUCCUUGCUCAGCUUUGUUCUAACCUUCUCUGCUACAGCCUGUCAUGGCAAACAGGUCAGAUUCACACUCACAGAGCUAUAAUAAAUAAUCUGAAUCCGGCAGCAAAGGAAAAAGUGAGAAGGGGUGAGUCUGAAGGGUGGUUUCACUAGUGACUGCAUGAGUCUCAUGGCUAUAUCCGGAGGACCAGCUUACAGUGAUUUUGUUGAGCUGUACUGAUGAACUGCUGUCAAUGGAAAAAACUCCAACCACCAGAGGCAUACGAGGAUUAGCCAAAAUGUACAAUUCCUACACAGUUGGAAAAUGGGGAGAUUAACUAUAAAAGGACUGAACCAGAAUAUGAGAUCAGAUCAUCUUCUCAGAUACCGCAUGUGUUCAGGAUUGCAAAUCCAUGUCCAACUAUCUUUAUCUCUGACCUUUUAAAAUAACUUUUCAGCACAACUGCAGCUACUGGCAGGAGCAGCAGAAGCCAGAAAAAGAAAACAGUGCUGGCAAGUCCAGCAUUUUACCUGCUGGGGACCUAGAUCUGCUUUCAGCUGGUGCAGAAUUUUGAAUUCCAGCAUCUGCUCUAGGCUUACAUUGCUGUGCUAAGGAGGGAUAAUCUUGUUCUAGACAUUAGAUGAAAUCUGAAUCUCUUUUUUCCAAGCAGUUGGUACAGUUCCAGAAUUCUUCCACAAUGCUCUUAUUUCUAUCUUUUGUUACUCUGCACAGUCUGAGACCAACCUGGCUUCUGUAAAGUUGUACUGUGGUCUGUCAGCAUUGGUGUCAGAGCCUUAUAACUCACCACUAGAGGAUUUUUAAAAUAUAGUACCUUCUGGGAAAAAACAGGCCACAAAGCUUGUUCCAUAGGUCAGAUUCCUCUUAGCCCCAUCCUUAUUCAAAGAAAGUAACAGCCAACUCAGCUGUUUGCCUUUUGGUUGUGCUGUCCUGGUCCAGCCAUGGCUCCCUGUGCCCUUUAUGCCUCUGACUCCUGGGCAGUCCGGCCACAGGACAGGGGCACUGCUGGGCACUGCAGGUGCUUCCUGGGGAGGCAACUGAGCCCAAAGGCUGGAGCAUCAGGGUCUCACCCAAAACAUUCCCAACAGCAUCCAGCAAUCAUGUGGGAAGUAGCAAUGGGCAAGGUGCAGUAGAAUUUGAAGCAUCAGGUGGCAGAUCCAUCCAUGGCUCAUACAGCCACACAAUUACUGUUUGUGCAUCUGCUUGUCCAGGAGACACCAUUCCUGAGCUGUGUAACUGCACCUUAAACCAGCUGAAAUUUAAUCUGCAACAACAUCCAGCUGUGAUAGAUUUGUCGGAGGUGCUGGAGGAACCCCAGUCCUCUGUGAUCGAGAACUUAUGUUGACAGGUGGUCGCUUUGCUUCUAUAGAUGGAAAAGGGCAUUUGUAGGACUUCUGGGACAGAAAAACCAGAUUGUGCAGCUAGGAGUGGCCCUGCAAUCACUGCCUGUAGCACCUUGUACACUUGAGUCACCUGCAGAUUUUGUCUCAGGUGGUUCUUCCCAAGCUCCUGCUGUGCAGCAGUGCUGCUUCCUCCAGCCAGCAGGUCUCACAAAGGUGAAGGGAGCAGAGUUGCAAGGGCAGCAUGGCCAAGGCACUUGGCUCCCACUCUGGGUCUUACUUUUGGUUUGUGUGUGUGUGUGUGUGUGUAGGGGUGUCAUGGUUUAUCUGAUUAAAUGUUAAUUUUUUAAAAUGCAAAUAGAUUUUAAAAGACAAAAUUAACUAUGUGCACUAUUCAAGACAGCACCAAAUUCACCUGUUAACAGUAUUAGAAUUUAAUUUCAUUGUACAGUUUCUCCUUCCUUCUGCCUCCUUAACUACUGGGCAGGGAGUAUCAAGUGUUGUUACUGUAUUUUGAUAGUAAUACUGUUCUGUUCAGUUCCUCCAUAAGUAAAUUAGUAAAAAAGGAUACUUGACUUUCACAAAAAGUGGUGUUGUAGAAAAAAAGGUAUUUUGAAGCCAUCUAAUUACAUCUCAAAAAUGAAAUUAUAAGAAAAGAAUUUGCUUUUUGAAUACAGGAAAUGUUACAAUGCAAAAAUACACUUCUGGAGUCUUCCUACCAUGAGCCAUGUAAUUGUGGUGUAUAUUUGACUUAUCCUAGUUACAUUUCAGUAUAUUUAUUUGCUUUUUGACUGGAGCAGAACUGCCACAUGCUGAUCAAUUCAGCUUGCUUAUGCCUUUUGUGCCUCUCCUGGGGUGUGCAAUAUAACAACCCUUGUUCUUUUAAAAACAGAGCAGCACCAAACCAAAACUAAAAACUACCAUCCAAGCUGCAUAUCAUGGCUGAUGCAGAAAUCCUCCGUUUCCCUUGGUCACAUUUGUAGGUCUGCCAAUGUGUUUUAACAUUGGCUCUGUGGAUUCCAUUCAUAACGUGCAAGGAAAGGGUUACAUGGCUUCCCAGAUGAUUAUGCAGCUGUCAAAAGGGAUGAAUUCAUCUUAAGCACUACUUUUUAAAAUGCUUUCUUAAUUUGCUUGUGAGGAAUAUCCAGAUGCAGCUGAUUAUCCUGUAAUGAGACUCCUACAGCUGAUAGUCUAAUAGGCUUUUGAAGGUGCCCAGCUUAUUAUAUGGAAUGAUAUUUUUUUGUAUUUUUUUAAGCUCUUCAUAUGUGUAUGCCACAAAUGGAUGUACUCCUCAAUAAUGAGACAGUCUAAGGGAGGUUUAUGGGAGUUAAUUAAUGUGGUAACAAGAAAAAAAUAAGGUAACCAUGAAAGACACCUUCUGCUUGUCAGCUGGAGGUUUGCAAAUAGUUACUUAUGCAACAUUGGAAUGCCAGAUGCAAUAAAUAAGGACUGGGCCAUCAUUUUGAAAUAAGCCAGUAACAUGAGUUACUACAUGCAUCUCAUAGAGUUUUGGGAGGCACUGGCACUUGUUGCAGUUUCUAAGAACAUUCUGUAAUUACACUAUCUGCAAGAAAGAGGUUUAUCCCCAUCUUGGUUGGAAAGAUGGAGGUACAGAGAGCUCAGUACUACAAGCCACAUGAUGCUGCCCUAUGCAGGGGAUGUACUAAAGACUCAUGCCCUGUGCUGCCUGGAUUUUUGAAGAGACAAGAUGAUCUCCCUGACAUGUGGGGCAACUUCCAUCAUCUGUUGCUGGAAUCAUCUCUAAAAUGUCUCCCCAGAUGCUACUAGUAAAGCUUUUUUAGUUUUUCUUGGUCCUAAUCUGUAGAUUAGGGCAAAAUAUUUCUGUGGGUUGCUAAAAAUUCUACUGUUAAGAGUUACAUAAAGGGAUUUCAACAAACAGUGUGUGUCAUUUAGCUCAGCAAGAACUGAAAUGCUGGAGCAAUGUUAUAGACGAUCUAUGAUCCCUUACUGUGACUCUACCCAAUGAGCUUCUGGCCUCAAGGCUCAGUAAAUGCACACAGGUUUUCUGUCGCUUGGCAUACACUACCCCUAUGUAAGUGUUGUAACUGUACUUUAAAAAAAAUUAAAUAAAUGGAUGUAAUGAGUCUUAGCACUUUUGAGCCCCUUCAGAAAGGAAAAUAGAAAAUCUCUGUUAAAAAAGAAUCUAGAGCCGAAAAAAAACCCAGAAGCAUCCAUAGUUUUGAAAUGACUUGUAAAUUUACUCUUUAAUUUUGUCUGCAUUUUAAUUAAUCUUUAAACUGAGAUGGGAAAAGCAGCCUAAUUAUGAAUAAGGUGUUAUAUAGCAUAAAUCCAUAACACAAUUCUGUGUCUGCAGCUGGAGAUGGGGCUUGGUAAUGGGGGAAGGUCAGUUGUAUCCCCAGUAUAGAAUUUAUGCUAAGUGGAAAGCACUUUCUUUAUCACAGUAUUUUGAAAUUUAAAAACAUCCUGCUGUUAAAUUAGGGGUAGAAAAUCCUGCUGUUAGAAGAUGCCAUUUACUUUUUCCAAAGAAACCAACAUGAAAACACAAAAAAAAAUUAUUUUGCAUUUAAAAGGUACCAAAAAAAAAAUUAAAAGCUGAAAUAUUUGUUUAAUGAAAUUCAAACUGAAAUAUUUUUAUAGGUUAGUACCAAUUUUCUGUGCUCCUCUCUGCAAUUCCAAAGGCAUUGCUCUUAUCUUGGUUUUAAAGAAAUCCCACUAGCCCUUCAUAGCUUGGUGCCAAGGCGAUUAAGUCCAAGUCUCAGAUUCUGUAUGUCAAAAUGGCAUUUUCUUCUAUCUCUGUUUUUAUUCCUACACACAUCCACCCUACCCCAAAUGCCUUUCAUCAUAUAACUUGUGUUCCAUAGAGCUACUGCACUGUUCUUGAUCCACAGGCAGUUAUUGUAACAUGUUUUCUAUACUUAACCAACAUUUGUCUUGGAUUAAUAAAAUAAAUUACAUAAAA